AAUCAACGCUGGCGGCGUGCCUAACACAUGCAAGUCGAACGCGAAAGCCCCUUCGGGGGUAAGUAGAGUGGCGUCCGGGUGAGUAACACGUGGGUAAUCUACCUUCGGGUGGGGGAAUAACUCAGGGAAACUUGAGCUAAUACCGCAUAAUGCAGCGGCACCUAAUGGUGAUUAGUUGUUAAAGCGGGGGAUCGCAAGACCUCGCGCCUGAAGAGGAGCCUGCGGCAGAUUAGCAGUUGGUGAGGUAAUGGCUCACCAAGGCUUCGAUCUGUAGCUGGUCUGAGAGGACGGCCAGCCACACUGGCACUGACACACGGGCCAGACUCCUACGGGAGGCAGCAGUGGGGAAUUUUGGGCAAUGGGCGAAAGCCUGACCCAGCAACGCCGCGUGAGGGAGGAAAUCCUUCGGGAUGUAAACCUCACAAGCAAGGGAAGAGAGCUACGGGCUGAAUAAUCCCGUAGUGCGACGGUACCUUGCGUAAGCC
rnacentral:rRNA from 1 species